UGGGGAAUUUUGGACAAUGGGCGAAAGCCUGAUCCAGCAAUGCCGCGUGUGUGAAGAAGGCCUUCGGGUUGUAAAGCACUUUUGUCCGGAAAGAAAUCCUUGGCUCUAAUACAGUCGGGGGAUGACGGUACCGGAAGAAUAAGCACCGGCUAACUACGUGCCAGCAGCCGCGGUAAUACGCAGGGUGCAAGCGUUAAUCGGAAUUACUGGGCGUAAAGCGUGCGCAGGCGGUUUGCUAAGACCGAUGUGAAAUCCCCGGGCUCAACCUGGGAACUGCAUUGGUGACUGGCAGGCUAGAGUAUGGCAGAGGGGGGUAGAAUUCCACGUGUAGCAGUGAAAUGCGUAGAGAUGUGGAGGAAUACCGAUGGCGAAGGCAGCCCCCCUGGGCCAAAUACUGACGCUCAUGCACGAAAGCGUGGGGGAGCAAAACAGGAUUAGAUACCCCUGGUAGUCCACGCCCUAAAACGAUGUCAACUAGUUGUUGGGGGAUUCAUUUCCUUAGUAACGUAGCUAACGCGUGAAGUUGACCGCCUGGGGGAGUACGGUCGCAAGAUUAAAACUCAAAUGAAUUGACGGGGUCAUAGCUGUUUCCU
rnacentral:rRNA from 1 species